GAGACCACAAAAUGGCUGCCGGCGGCUUCGUCACGUGACCCCUUUGUGCCUUUCGGGCCCCCGAACUCCGCGGGACCCAGGUCGGGCAGAUCCUCACAGCGGAAGACCGGCAGCGGCUUCGAGGCGUCCAGCGCCCGCGCCCGAAACGACAGUUUACUCAUCUCAGGCGCAGCAGAUACCUCUCCGCUCUGGGGAAACGGCCCCGGCCAGCGGGAUCAUGGAGAACCGGAGUUUCGGUCUCCACUCGCCUGCCGCUGCCGGGGACUUGGGGGCGGAGCGCAAAGCCCGCCGUCCGGGCCCUGACACCAGCCGGGAGGGUGGGAGGCUGUGCCGCUCCGCGCCUCGCUCACUCGCUCUCUUCAAUACGCCAUGGCCAACAUGGCGGACAUUAAAACUCCACUGUGCGCUCUUCAGCCAACCCCAGCCAUUCCCCACACUGCAUCGCGCAGCGACGCGGGCACGCGCGGGGGGAGCGCGGGCUCGAGCGGGCGCCGGCGCGGCGCGGCAUGGAGCGCGCGUCCCGCCAACCCCCGGCCCGCCGGCCGCCGGCCUCGCCCGCCCGCUCCGCCCGGCCGCCUCGCUUCCCGCCCUGCGCGGUGCUCAAGCGAGGGAGCGACGAGCUCGGCGCCCGCGCGGGCCCUGGGAAGGCCGGCGCGUAGAGCGGCUGGGA
ensembl:antisense Gm28529 predicted gene 28529